rnacentral:rRNA from 1 species
UACGUAGGGUGCGAGCGUUAAUCGGAAUUACUGGGCGUAAAGCGUGCGCAGGCGGUUCGCCAAGUCAGGUGUGAAAUCCCCGGGCUUAACCUGGGAAUUGCGCUUGAAACUAGCGGGCUUGAGUGUGGGCAGAGGGGGGUGGAAUUCACGUGUAGCAGUGAAAUGCGUAGAGAUGUGGAGGAACACCGAUGGCGAAGGCAGCCCCCUGGGUCAACACUGACGCUCAUGCACGAAAGCGUGGGGAGCAAACAGG